AUUGAACGCUGGCGGCAUGCUUUACACAUGCAAGUCGAACGGCAGCGCGGGCUUCGGCCUGGCGGCGAGUGGCGAACGGGUGAGUAAUGCAUCGGAACGUGCCCGGUAGUGGGGGAUAGCCCGGCGAAAGCCGGAUUAAUACCGCAUACGACCUGAGGGUGAAAGCGGGGGACCGAAAGGCCUCGCGCUAUUGGAGCGGCCGAUGUCGGAUUAGCUAGUUGGUGGGGUAAAGGCUUACCAAGGCGACGAUCCGUAGCUGGUCUGAGAGGACGACCAGCCACACUGGGACUGAGACACGGCCCAGACUCCUACGGGAGGCAGCAGUGGGGAAUUUUGGACAAUGGGGGAAACCCUGAUCCAGCCAUGCCGCGUGCGGGAAGAAGGCCUUCGGGUUGUAAACCGCUUUUGUUCGGGAAGAAAUCCUCUGGGCUAAUACCCCGGGGGGAUGACGGUACCGGAAGAAUAAGCACCGGCUAACUACGUG
rnacentral:rRNA from 1 species